CUUUAUUGGAGAGUUUGAUCCUGGCUCAGGAUGAACGCUGGCGGCGUGCCUAAUACAUGCAAGUCGAGCGAAUGGAUUAAGAGCUUGCUCUUAUGAAGUU
rnacentral:rRNA from 1 species